UUAAAUAGUUUUCCUUGUGAAGUGUGGGAGUGGACAACUUCUAGCCUUUGGGCCAGAAUCAAACAUUAAGUUCAUGUUACCCAGCCUGUGGGGACCAGUAAAAGAUGUCAUGGCUCUGUGUAUGCCUAAAGAUGCAACACCACAACACUUCUGAUCAUCUUUAACAGCUUUAGUGAAAAGAAAGAUUGUGCUAAGAAGAGGCUGAUAUGAGUCUCCAACUAUAUUUACUUAAAGUUGGCUUUAAAGAGAGGGCUUCCUAGGUGGUGCAGUGGU